CAGAAACUUUCGAAUCUAAAAAAAGGAAAAAAACUACAAAAAAAUUUACUACAAAGCAUCCUCGUGUUGAAAAAAACAGAUAAUUGUGGUAGCCUUUGUUCGAGCAAUACUCCAACCAUAGUGGAAUGUGAACCUCAACCUGAUGACGGGAUGGAUGUCCCAUACCAAGAUAGGCUUGAACAAAGUGGCGAACAAUUGUUAAAAAUGAUCGGAGAUGUUGGAAUAAUUUUUGACAACAUUCCAGCGAGCUGCUGGAAAAAAACGAAGUCAUUCAGGGCCUCUCUUGGGCAGAAAGAACUGAAAUUUUUGAUACUUUAUGGGAAGGAGUUAGAGAAUCUCUCUAUGAAAAUUUUCUGUCAAAGCAGGCAUAUCCACUGACCAUGCAGUGUGAAAAAUGCUCGCUCUCUCCUUCUGGAGGAAGAGUUGUCAAAUGUUCCACUUGCAAGAAACACCUUUGUGGCGAUUGUGAUUUUUUUGUGCAUUCUCAACAGCCGUUUCACAAUCGUUGGUUAAUUUCGAACGAAUCUUGGUUCUCCUGAAGAACGAUGGAAUUUAUAGAUUCGGCUGGGAAACUUGUCGAGAAAGGUGUUCCGGUCCCCUGUUUUAAACCCCAUCAGUGUACUUUGUGUGAUUCACCUUAUUUGCAAAUUGAAUCAGGAUCCCGCGUUGUAGUUGUCGUGACUGCAGAAGGACGUUUUGAAUACAAAUCCUCUGUUUUUUCAUGCCUAGGAUGCCAUGGAAAAGUUGAUGCAACAAUCCAUGACUACCUCCAGUCAAAUUUAAUGCCAGGAAAUCCACAGUCUCUCAACUUCUUAUAUUCUGUUGAAGUUUUGAGACUUUGGUUCCUUGUCAAACAUAAUUUACCCAGCAGUUCGUAAAAAUUUUUUUGGAGUGCUUAAAAGAAUUAUCGGAAGGUACACGUCGGCAUGGUCCAAUAAACAGAACCCAAUUCAGUCGUGCGUCUAAAGAAUACGAGUUCCUUAUCUACACUGUUGAAAAAAGGAUAAAGAGACACGAAAAGACAAGGUGUAAAGCGUGUGGCGAUGACCCUCUUUCGUGUCAUAUUGACGGAAAUAUGAAACUUCUACGAUGGCUUACAGCCAAAGGACUGUCAUCAAAAUCACUUUAUGGCGAUGCUGUCAUUGCUUUGGAUUCAGAUCUUAAUGAUUUUGUCGCUGUUUUGGAUAACAACCAAAAAACCAAAAAAACAUCAAGUGAAAGUUGCGGUGGGUCUACUUUCAAGGCGGCCAAAUCUUAUUCGAGUCAACGUAAGAACUUAGACGAAAUUGGAGUAGUUAUGGGAUGUUGUCGCCAUGGAGUUGUCCAACGAGCCGUUAACAUGUUCCACGGAGAAACCUUUCGCCACACAAACUUCAUCCACAGACAUAUGGCCGAAAAAAACUUUAAAUUUAUCUCCAGUGACGUUAUAUGCCGUUAUUGGGACUACUCCCAAAAAACAGCAGUAAAACACCCAGAAUUAUUAGCGAAAACAAAGGAAACGAAGGCUUUCCUCCAGCGUAUGCAUGCAAAAGCUCAUAUGCUCUAUUGCCAGAUUUUGUGGAUUGGGCAUUGGAUGGAUAAUGCUGCCUUAACAACUGGCGAAGAGCAGGAGCAGGUGUUUUAAAAAAUGUCACGCUACAACAGCGUCACCAAACAUAUGGGGAAGGCAAAUCGCAACGACCAUCUUACGGCAGGGAUAAUGCACUGGAAUUCAGAAAAAGAACGCGUAAUGGCAAAUCUACUAAUGAGGCGCCGAAGCAAGGCUAUUUCUCUGCUACGUAGUAGCAAAGUAAAUCUUAAACGGUUAUUGGAAGAGAAACAAAUAACGCGUGAAGCUUUAACAUCUUUGGAACUCGACCUUAAGACUAUAGCCCGGAAGUGUCUAGCGGAGGAAAGGUCAAGAAUUGGAACACUUUCAGUAACAAAACUGAAAUUAGAAAGCAGUUUUGUUCACAUGAAAAAUCUUCAGAUUAAAGUUGAAAAGCAUCGUCCAUAGAGAGAAAAAAGAACCGUCAAGCAGAAACUUUGGUAAAAAAAAAAAAGCUUCAGAGUUGAUUGCAAAAAUGAAUUCCUUUAAAAACUCAGAGGGAAAAUUGUACAAAUUGAUCAUGCAGGAUUUUGAACAAGGUUAUUUUCCUUGGCUCCUUGUAGAAGGUUCAUGGCGUGAAGAGAUUUACCUCUAUGAAAGCUUCAGUGUAUCAGAUUAUUUAUCACUUUUUUCGGCUCAACAGCAUUUGAAUAAAGUUUCUCAUGUUAGCCGUUUAUUGACUGAGAAAAUCGAAAGAUCAGCAAGUACCAAUUCUAAAACCAAAAUUUCUUUAACUCAACACAACAAAAACACUCUGAAAACGUAAACAACACGUCUCAUUAAUUUAUUUUAAAAAACUUGAAUUAAAAAAAAAAUACAUCAAAAUAUUCCCUAUUCAUUUACCAAUUUAAUCACUGCUAUAGAUUUGUUCAAAGAUACACUAGGAAGAAACUACACACUAUAUUCCAAGAGACCCUCCCAAAACCCAUUAGAGCUCCACAUCGUCCCAAAAGUGAAAGUAGGUGAAUGAUGGCCGCCGCGACGUUGCCAUGGCUGGGGUACGCGUCAUUGGUUUGCUCUAUUAACCACAAGCUCGUCUUCUUCCAAUUGAAUUUCAAGCUAAUGUAAGUUUCAACUGUGUUUGAUUGUUUACAGUUCAGUUUGAUUAAUGUAUUACAUGUUGUUGACUAUGUGUAAAAAUAUGUAAGUUAUAGCCUAAUUGAUAUGCCAUUCUAUUUAUUUUAUGUUGUUUUGUGUAAUGGUUUUUUUUUCAUUAUUAAUAAAAUGAUUGGCA
rnacentral:sRNA from 1 species